UACGUAGGUCCCGAGCGUUGUCCGGAUUUAUUGGGCGUAAAGCGAGCGCAGGUGGUUUAUUAAGUCUGGUGUAAAAGGCAGUGGCUCAACCAUUGUAUGCAUUGGAAACUGGUAGACUUGAGUGCAGGAGAGGAGAGUGGAAUUCCAUGUGUAGCGGUGAAAUGCGUAGAUAUAUGGAGGAACACCGGUGGCGAAGGCGGGUUCCUGGACAUUAACUGACGCUGAGGCACGAAGGCCAGGGGAGCGAAAGGG
rnacentral:rRNA from 1 species